GACGAACGCUGGCGGCGUGCCUAAUACAUGCAUAGACGACAAGUGGCGGACGGGUGAGUAAUGUCUGGGAAACUGCCCGAUGGAGGGGGAUAACUACUGGAAACGGUAGCUAAUACCGCAUACCAUCGGAUGUGCCCAGAUGGGAUUAGCUAGUGGGGGGGGUAACGGCUCACCUAGGCGACGAUCCCUAGCGGGUCUGAGAGGAUGACCAGCCACACUGGAACUGAGACACGGUCCAGACGCCUACGGGAGGCAGCAGUGGGGAAUAUUGCACAAUGGGCGCAAGCCUGAUGCAGCCAUGCCGCGUGUAUGAAGAAGGCCUUCGGGUUGUAAAGUACUUUCAGCGAGGAGGCGUUACUCGCAGAAGAAGCACCGGCUAACUCCGUGCCAGCAGCCGCGGUAAUUC
rnacentral:rRNA from 1 species